AGCGAACGCUGGCGGCAGGCCUAACACAUGCAAGUCGAACGAAGUCUUCGGACUUAGUGGCGGACGGGUGAGUAACACGUGGGAACGUACCUUUUGGUUCGGAGCAACUCAGGGAAACUUGAGCUAAUACCGGAUGAGCCCUUAGGGGGAAAGAUUUAUCGCCGAAAGAGCGGCCCGCGUUAGAUUAGCUAGUUGGUGAGGUAAAGGCUCACCAGGGCUACGAUCUAUAGCUGGUCUGAGAGGAUGAUCAGCCACACUGGGACUGAGACACGGCCCAGACUCCUACGGGAGGCGGCAGUGGGGAAUCUUGCGCAAUGGGCGAAAGCCUGACGCAGCCAUGCCGCGUGAAUGAUGAAGGUCUUAGGAUUGUAAAAUUCUUUUACCAGGGACGAUAAUGACGGUACCUGGAGAAAAAGCCCCGGCUAACUUCGUGCCAGCAGCCGCAGUAACAC
rnacentral:rRNA from 1 species